GUUAGUGGCGGACGGGUGAGUAACGCGUGGGUAACCUGCCUUGUACUGGGGGACAACAGUUGGAAACGACUGCUAAUACCGCAUAAGCCCACGGGUCGGCAUCGAUCUGAGGGAAAAGGAGCAAUCCGCUUUGAGAUGGCCUCGCGUCCGAUUAGCUAGUUGGUGAGGUAACGGCCCACCAAGGCGACGAUCGGUAGCCGGACUGAGAGGUUGAACGGCCACAUUGGGACUGAGACACGGCCCAGACUCCUACGGGAGGCAGCAUG
rnacentral:rRNA from 1 species